rnacentral:lncRNA from 1 species
CCUCAUUCUCUCCUCUAGGGAUUUUAUGGUCUCGCAUCCUCAAAAGAAAGUUUUGAAGUCUCUAAGCAAGACCAUGUGGAAAGAAGCUAGCAGCAACUACUAAUGGCAUACACACUCAGUCUGCCCAAUGGGAUGAAUGGAUACAUGGAGAUCUUUCACAGAAGAAUGAAGAACUGAGGCAAAAGCAACCCAAUAGUUUACACAAGAUGAUUCAGCUGGCAGUUGGUGGAACAGGUGAAAUCAGCAAACACUCUCCGGAGCCCACCCCUGGUGAUGACUAUAGCCACAGAUCAAGAAACCAUGCUUAGUGUUAUUUGGGCACUGCUUCAUUAAUUAACCGAUGGAUUUAUUCAGCAAACUUUAAAGUCAGCCAAUUUUGAGCCCGUUCUGCCUUGUCCACUAUAAUUAUCGAGGAAAAUACAUUAGUUUUGUUCAAUGGCAAAGUCAAGUGUGGAAUGUUUGCUCUCAAGUCUGCAUUAGUGGAACAACUAAGAGAAGAGUAAUCCAGAGACGCUCUGCCUCCUGUUUGCUCUUUGCUUAACUUCCGUCAAGUUAACCUGCAAAGCAUUUAUUGACAGGCUCUCAUCUUUAGAGGGAGAUACAGGCUCUCAUCUUUAGAGGGAGAUACAGGCUCUAGCCUCCAUUCUCUCCUUCUUUGCUACCUCCUACCCAAAUUC